CCUACGGGAGGCAGCAGUGGGGAAUAUUGCACAAUGGGCGCAAGCCUGAUGCAGCAACGCCGCGUGAGGGACGACGGCCUUCGGGUUGUAAACCUCUUUUAGUAGGGAAGAAGCGAAAGUGACGGUACCUGCAGAAAAAGCACCGGCUAACUACGUGCCAGCAGCCGCGGUAAUACGUAGGGUGCAAGCGUUAUCCGGAAUUAUUGGGCGUAAAGAGCUCGUAGGCGGUUUGUCGCGUCUGCUGUGAAAACUGGAGGCUCAACCUCCAGCCUGCAGUGGGUACGGGCAAACUAGAGUGCGGUAGGGGAGAUUGGAAUUCCUGGUGUAGCGGUGGAAUGCGCAGAUAUCAGGAGGAACACCGGAUGGCGAAGGCAGAUCUCUGGGCCGUAACUGACGCUGAGGAGCGAAAGCAUGGGGAGCGAACAGGAUUAGAUACCCUGGUAGUCCAUGCCGUAAACGUUGGGCGCUAGAUGUGGGGACCAUUCCACGGUUUCCGUGUCGCAGCUAACGCAUUAAGCGCCCCGCCUGGGGGAGGUACGGCCGCGACGGACGUAAACUAACGAAGAAGUAGACGGCGUGAGACGUCGCCGACGGACGACGACGAGGGAGGUUAGG
rnacentral:rRNA from 1 species